GGCCCCGGCCCCGGUCCUGGCCCCGGUCCCGGUCCCGGCCCCGGCUCCAGUCGUGGCCCCGGCCCCGGCCCCGGCC
rnacentral:miRNA from 1 species